rnacentral:rRNA from 1 species
UACGUAGGGGGCGAGCGUUGUCCGAAGUUAUUGGGCGUAAAGAGCUCGUAGGCGGCUUGUCGCGUCGGAUGUGAAAGCCCGGGGCUUAACUCCGGGUCUGCAUUCGAUACGGGCAGGCUAGAGUUCGGUAGGGGAGAUCGGAAUUCCUGGUGUAGCGGUGAAAUGCGCAGAUAUCAGGAGGAACACCGGUGGCGAAGGCGGAUCUCUGGGCCGAUACUGACGCUGAGGAGCGAAAGCGUGGGGAGCGAACAGG